UACAGAGGUCUCAAGCGUUGUUCGGAUUCAUUGGGCGUAAAGGGCGCGUAGGCUGCGGGGCAAGUCGGGUGUGAAAUCUCAGAGCUCAACUCUGAAACUGCACUCGAUACUGCUUUGCUUGAGGACUGGAGAGGAGAUUGGAAUUCACGGUGUAGCAGUGAAAUGCGUAGAGAUCAUGAGGAAGACCAGUGGCGAAGGCGGGUCUCUGGACAGUUCCUGACACUGAGACACGAAGGCCAGGGGAGCAAACGGG
rnacentral:rRNA from 1 species